GUUGAAUGCAAAAGACUAUUGUUAG
rnacentral:sRNA from 1 species